GCAGGGGUUCCCAAGCCAGGCCAAAGCCCCUACAAGCGGCUAAAGGGGGCGGACUUAAGAUCCGCUGACGAAGGUCUUCGUGGGUUCAAAUCCCACCCCCUGCACCA
rnacentral:tRNA from 1 species